AUGGGGCGCAGCAGGCGCGGAACCUCCGCAAUACACGAAAGUGUGACGGGGUUACCCAAAGUGUUCUCUUAAGAACUGUGGUAGGUGAGUAAUGUCCCCUACUAGAAAGGAGAGGGCAAGGCUGGUGCCAGCCGCCGCGGUAAAACCAGCUCUUCAAGUGGUCGGGAUGAUUAUUGGGCUUAAAGUGUCCGUAGCCGGUUUAGUAAGUUCCUGGUAAAAUCAGGUAGCCUAACUAUCUGCAUGCUAGGAAUACUGCUAUACUAGAGGGCGGGAGAGGUCUGAGGUACUACAGGGGUAGGGGUGAAAUCUUAUAAUCCUUGUAGGACCACCAGUGGCGAAGGCGUCAGACUGGAACGCGCCUGACGGUGAGGGACGAAAGCCAGGGGAGCGAACCGGAUUAGAUACCCGGGUAGUCUUGGCCGUAAACGAUGCAUACUAGGUGAUGGCAUGGCCAUGAGCCGUGUCAGUGCCGUAGGGAAACCGUUAAGUGUGCCGCCUGGGAAGUACGGCCGCAAGGCUGAAACUUAAAGGAAUUGGCGGGGGAGCAC
rnacentral:rRNA from 1 species